rnacentral:rRNA from 1 species
UGCCAGCCGCCGCGGUAACACGGGGGGCGCAAGCGUUAUUCGGAAUUAUUGGGCGUAAAGGGUCCGUAGGCGGUUUGUUAAGUCUCCUGUGAAAGUUCAAGGCUCAACCUUGAAAUGUCGGGGGAUACUGGCAAACUUGAGACUGUCAGAGGCAAGUAGAAUUCCCGGUGUAGCGGUGAAAUGCGUAGAUAUCGGGAGGAAUACCAGUGGCGAAAGCGGCUUGCUGGGACAGUUCUGACGCUGAGGGACGAAAGCGUGGGUAGCAAACCGGAUUAGAUA